rnacentral:rRNA from 1 species
UAAGGAAUAUUGGUCAAUGGACGCAAGUCUGAACCAGCCAUGCCGCGUGAAGGAUGAAGGUCCUCUGGAUUGUAAACUUCUUUUAUCUGGGACGAAAACGGGAUUUUUAUCUCAAUUGACGGUACCAGAGGAAUAAGCACCGGCUAACUCCGUGCCAGCAGCCGCGGUAAUACGGAGGGUGCGAGCGUUAUCCGGAUUUACUGGGUUUAAAGGGUGCGUAGGUGGGCUUAUAAGUCAGUGGUGAAAUCUCCGAGCUUAACUUGGAAACUGCCGUUGAUACUAUAGGUCUUGAACUAUCUGGAGGUCAGCGGAAUAUGUCAUGUAGCGGUGAAAUGCUUAGAUAUGACAUAGAACACCAAUUGCGAAGGCAGCUUACUACAUAUAAAUUGACGCUGAGGCACGAAAGCGUGGGGAUCAAACA